rnacentral:misc_RNA from 1 species
AUGAGGCAAAAGCAUCAGUUUAAAAGGGGCUGCAGGAGUGGAAUAAAGAGCACCCUUUAGACCACGAGUUUCAAAGUGCUUGUAGAAAUGAUUGAGCCAUUUUUGAACCACCAAACGAAUCGUGACAUCAUUCAAAACAUUAUCAAGCGAUGGAAUCUUUAAUAUCUUCUCCAACUUUUCAAUCUGAUAGAGCUCGGCUGCAUUGUUCUCGCCACACUCCAUCAGUUCAUUGGUUGAGUAUGCUGAUCCAUCUAAUAUGUUGGUUCCAUCAUUAAAUGGCACCACUCUAGAAGAAUGAAGCAAUUUCCACAACAAUGCACAUCUUCUUAAGUACGGAAAGGUCAGACUGCGAAUUGCAUCUUUGAUGUCAUAAGAAAUUUCUAUAAAAUUAGAUUCAAAAUAUUGGUGAGCAACUCCUUGUUCUUCAAUUACUUUAUAGAUGUCAGUAACUAGAGAAU